GGGUACGUAGCUCAAUUGGUAAGAGCGCCAGACUGUGGAUCUGGAUGUUGCGGGUUCAAGUCCCGUCGUGCCCCCCA
rnacentral:tRNA from 1 species